CCCCCGAUAUAGGCAUAUUCAACACCGGCGGUUGAACUGGAUUUGCGCCUGAGGUGCAGGCCGGCUGGCCUGCCGCAUCCCUACUACCAGACCUCGUGCCUACCAUCUCGACAAAGAUUCAAACCAAAUAGAUAGUGCGUAGGAAGACUGGUCUAGAGCAAGCCAAAAAUUCCUACACAAUGACCAAAAUAUAAAUCUGCAAGUAAAAGUAGAAACGAUGUAUAACCCCUAUGAGGGCAACAAAAAAAACUCUAUACGAGCCAACUAAAAGAAAAGCAUAUGUUCUAGGUGGUGAAAGGAAGGAACUAUUGGAGAGGCAAGUAAUGGUAAAAUAAGGUGAGUGUUUGAUUUUCUAUACGAUUUAUAAACAAAAAUUGACAAAAGAUAUUUUUCCAGGUUGCGUAAGUUCGUGAAACAAAAAUUACAGAUAUGGAUAUGUAGAUGGACGUAUACGGCAGUACAAGCAAGGACUAACCCUGUGCCGUCACCACAGCCCACUGGACUAUAGCCACGAUCGCUGGGGUUGCAUGAAGUUUGGCCCUACGCCUGAAAACUCUCCCAACGGAGUAAGAUGAUAUUUGCCCGGUGGGCAAAAACUCCCUAUUCAACGUUUUGAGGACCUACCCGGAUUAGAGCUCUGAUCCUAGCGCCUACGGCUCCUUCUAAAACGGAACCCACUGCAACUGAGUUGGGACAAAUAGCCCUUCUUGUCUCCCCCAGGUCGUCCGUCUUAGUCCGAAGUCCGGCAUUUACCCCUGCAACCCGGAGGAGGCUACAAGCAUCUGGAGCUCCCACGUUGAUUGGAGAGGCGAUGGUGGCUGGAUGCGGUUGAUGAUGGUGUAUCCGUUGUUUUUUUUUUUUUUUAACUUUAUUUUUAAGAUGUAGCGUUAUGUAGCUUGUAAGAUUUUAGUCUUAUUUAGAUUGUAAUUUUUCUUUUAGGUAUGCUCAAUUCUUAGAUAUCUUCGUAACUUUAAGAUGUAUUCAAUUCACUGUUUGUUUGUUUUUUUUUUUUUUUUAUCUAGCUUGUAGAUUUUAAGUAUUUUUUUUUGCUUGUGGUUUUGUUAACUUAGUUCUUAGGUAAGUUUAGUAUGUAGCCUUUAGGUAAGUUAAGCUUGUAGUUUUAGAUUAUUUUUAUAAUUUCUUAUAUAUUUUUUUUUUUUAGGAUGUAAUUUUUUCUUUAUUUUCAGAUUAUUUAAUAUGUAGUUCGUAAGUUCGAUUUUCCUUCAUGAAUUUAAAAAGAAUAAAAAAAAUCCAUUUUCAGGCAUCUUCUA